rnacentral:rRNA from 1 species
CCUACGGGGUGCAGCAGUGAGGAAUAUUGGUCAAUGGGCGCGAGCCUGAACCAGCCAAGUAGCGUGAAGGAUGACUGCCCUACGGGUUGUACACUUCUUUUAUAAAGGAAUAAAGUGAUGCACGUGUGCCUUUUUGUAUGUACUUUCUGAACAAGGCUCGGCUAACUCCGUGCCAGCAGCCGCGGUAAUACGGAGGAUCUGAGCGUUAUCCGGAUUUAUUGGGUUUAAAGGGAGCGUAGAUGGGUUGUUAAGUCAGUUGUGAAAGUGUGCGGCUCAACCGUAAAAUUGCAAUUGAUACUGGCAGUCUUGAGUACAGUUGAGGUAGGCGGAAUUCGUGGUGUAGCGGUGAAAUGCUUAGAUAUCACGAAGAACUCCGAUUGCGAAGGCAGCUUACUAAACUGCCACUGACAUUGAUGCUCGAAAGUGUGGGUAUCAAACAGGAUUAGAUACCCGAGUAGUC